rnacentral:rRNA from 2 species
UGGGACUGAGACACGGCCCAGACUCCUCCGGGAGGCAGCAGUAGGGAAUCUUCCGCAAUGGACGAAAGUCUGACGGAGCAACGCCGCGUGAGUGAUGAAGGUUUUCGGAUCGUAAAGCUCUGUUGUUAGGGAAGAACAAGUGCGAGAGUAACUGCUCGCACCUUGACGGUACCUAACCAGAAAGCCACGGCUAACUACGUGCCAGCAGCCGCGGUAAUACGUAGGUGGCAAGCGUUGUCCGGAAUUAUUGGGCGUAAAGGGCUCGCAGGCGGUUUCUUAAGUCUGAUGUGAAAGCCCCCGGCUCAACCGGGGAGGGUCAUUGGAAACUGGGAAACUUGAGUGCAGAAGAGGAGAGUGGAAUUCCACGUGUAGCGGUGAAAUGCGUAGAGAUGUGGAGGAACACCAGUGGCGAAGGCGACUCUCUGGUCUGUAACUGACGCUGAGGAGCGAAAGCGUGGGGAGCGAACAGGAUUAGAUACCCUGGUAGUCCACGCCGUAAACGAUGAGUGCUAAGUGUUAGGGGGUUUCCGCCCCUUAG